rnacentral:rRNA from 1 species
CAGACUUAGUGGCGGACGGGUGAGUAAUGUAUGAGCAACCUGCCUUCAAGAGGGGAAUAACAGUCGGAGACGACUGCUAAUACCGCAUAGUAAAGCGUAGUCGCAUGACAAUGCUUCCAAAGGAGCAAUCCGCUUGAAGAUGGGCUCAUAUCUGAUUAGGUAGUUGGUGAGGUAACGGCUCACCAAGUCUGCGAUCAGUAGCCGGACUGAGAGGUUGAACGGCCACAUUGGAACUGAGAUACGGUCCAGACUCC